CCUACGGGGGACUGCAGUGAGGAAUAUUGGUCAAUGGGCGCGAGCCUGAACCAGCCAAGUAGCGUGAAGGAUGACUGCCCUACGGGUUGUAAACUUCUUUUAUAAAGGAAUAAAGUGAGGCACGUGUGCCUGUUUGUAUGUACUUUAUGAAUAAGGAUCGGCGAACUCCGUGCCAGCAGCCGCGGUAAUACGGAGGAUCCGAGCGUUAUCCGGAUUUAUUGGGUUUAAAGGGAGCGUAGAUGGGUUGUUAAGUCAGUUGGGAAAGUUUGCGGCUCAACCGUAAAAUUGCAAUUGAUACUGGCAGUCUUGCGUACAGUUGAGGUAGUCGCCAUUC
rnacentral:rRNA from 1 species